AUACGGAGGAUGCAAGCGUUAUCCGGAUUUAUUGGGUUUAAAGGGUGCGCAGGCGGGAAGUUAAGUCAGUGGUGAAAUCCUACAGCUUAACUGUAGAACUGCCAUUGAUACUGAUUUUCUUGAGUGCAGUUGAGGUAGGCGGAAUGUGUAAUGUAGCGGUGAAAUGCUUAGAUAUUACACAGAACACCGAUUGCGUAGGCAGCUCACUAAACUGUUACUGACGCUCAGGCACGAAAGCGUGGGGAGCGAACAGGAUUAGAAACCCCAGUAGUCC
rnacentral:rRNA from 1 species